AACCCCCGCCGUUAGUUGCCAGCGGUUCGGCCGGGCACUCUAACGGGGCUGCCCGCGAAAGCGGGAGGAAGGAGGGGACGACGUCUGGUCAGCAUGGCCCUUACGGCCUGGGCGACACACGUGCUACAAUGCCCACUACAAAGCGAUGCCACCCGGCAACGGGGAGCUAAUCGCAAAAAGGUGGGCCCAGUUCGGAUUGGGGUCUGCAACCCGACCCCAUGAAGCCGGAAUCGCUAGUAAUCGCGGAUCAGCCAUGCCGCGGUGAAUACGUUCCCGGGCCUC
rnacentral:rRNA from 1 species